UCAGUUGUGAAAGUUUGCGGCUCAACCGUAAAAUUGCAGUUGAAACUGGCAGUCUUGAGUACAGUAGAGGUGGGCGGAAUUCGUGGUGUAGCGGUGAAAUGCUUAGAUAUCACGAAGAACUCCGAUUGCGAAGGCAGCUCACUGGACUGUUGACUGACACUGAGGCUCGAAAGUGUGGGUAUCAAACAGGAUUAGAUACCCUGGUAGUCCACACAGUAAACGAUGAAUACUCGCUGUUUGCGAUAUACAGCAAGCGGCCAAGCGAAAGCAUUAAGUAUUCCACCUGGGGAGUACGCCGGCAACGGUGAAACUCAAAGGAAUUGACGGGGGCCCGCACAAGCGGAGGAACAUGUGGUUUAAUUCGAUGAUACGCGAGGAACCUUACCCGGGCUUAAAUUGCACCUGAAUAAUGUGGAAACAUAUUAGCCGCAAGGCAGGUGUGAAGGUGCUGCAUGGUUGUCGUCAGCUCGUGCCGUGAGGUGUCGGCUUAAG
rnacentral:rRNA from 1 species